rnacentral:rRNA from 1 species
AGAUAAUAGAUACCCGGGUAGUCCACGCCCUAAACGAUGUCUACUAGUUGUUGGUGGAGUAAAAUCCAUGAGUAAACGCAGCUAAACGCGUGAAGUAGACCGCCUGGGGAGUACGGUCGCAAGAUUAAAACUCAAAGGAAUUGACGGGGGCCCGGCACAAGCGGUGGAUUAUGUGGAUUAAAUUCGAUGCAACGCGAAAAACCUUACCUGGCCUUGACAUGCCACUAACGAAGCAGAGAUGCAUUAGGUGCCCGUAAGGGAAAGUGGACACAGGUGCUGCAUGGCUGUCGUCAGCUCGUGUCGUGAGAUGUUGGGUUAAGUCCCGCAACGAGCGCAACCCUUGCCAUUAAUUGCCAUCAUUUAGUUGGGCACUUUAAUGGGACUGCCGGUGACAAACCGGAGGAAGGUGGGGAUGACGUCAAGUCCUCAUGGCCCUUAUGGCCAGGGCUUCACACGUAAUACAAUGGUCGGUACAGAGAGUUGCCAACCCGUCGAGGGGUAGCUAAUCUCAGAAAGCCGAUCGUAGUCCGGAUUGUUCUCUGC